rnacentral:rRNA from 1 species
UACGGGGGGGGCAAGCGUUGUUCGGAAUUACUGGGCGUAAAGGGCUCGUAGGCGGCCAACUAAGUCGGACGUGAAAUCCCUCGGCUUAACCGGGGAACUGCGUCCGAUACUGGUUGGCUUGAGUUUGGGAGAGGGAUGCGGAAUUCCAGGUGUAGCGGUGAAAUGCGUAGAUAUCUGGAGGAACACCGGUGGCGAAGGCGGCAUCCUGGACCAAUACUGACGCUGAAGAGCGAAAGCCAGGGGAGCAAACGGG